CCGGGGUUAAAUAGGGGCGGAUGCGCGCUAUGUUUUUGAGAUGGAAGCGACAGGAUUUGACAAUUAAUUGGACAUGAGGGGUGAAGGAGAGGUUGGAGUCAAAAAUAACACCCAGGCAGCGAGCCUGCGAGGUAGAGGUGAUGGUAGCGCUGUUGACUUGGAGGGAGACGGACACAGGAGUAGUAACACUUGAGGGAGGAAAGACCAGAAGUUCUGUUUUGGACAGGUUGAGUUUAAGGAAGUGAGCAGCCAUCCAUUUGGAAAUCGAAGAGAGGCAGAGAGAGGUCAGGAGAGGACAGGUAGUUUUGCGUGUCAUCCGCAUAGAAAUAACAGAAGCCAAAUGAGCUGAUGAGUUUACCAAGGGAGGCAGCGUAGAUGGAGAACAGUAGUGGACCAAGGAC